ACUCCUACGGAAGGCAGCAGUAAGGAAUAUUGCUCAAUGGGGGGAAACCCCUGAAGCAGCAACGCCGCGUGAAGGAUGAAAUACUUUUGUAUGUAAACUUCUGUAAGAUGGGAAAAAUAUUCUCCUCGGGAGAAUUGAUUGUACCAUCAGAGUAAGCCCCGGCUAACUACGUGCCAGCAGCCGCGGUAAUG
rnacentral:rRNA from 1 species